CAGGACGAACGCUGGCGGCGUGCUUCAUACAUGCAAGUCGAACGAGAAGCUGACUUCGGUCAGUGGAAAGUGGCGGACGGGUGAGUAAUGUGUAGAGAAUCUGCCCUAGAGAGGGGGACAACAGUUGGAAACGACUGCCAAUACCCCAUAUGAGCGUAGCUGAAAUGCUAUUCUUGAAAACUCCGGUGCUCUGGGAUGAGUCUGCAUCUGAUUAGCUAGUAGGCGGUGUAAUGGACCACCUAGGCGACGAUCAGUAGCUGGUUUGAGAGGAUGAUCAGCCACAAUGGGACUGAGACACGGCCCAUACUCCUACGGGAGGCAGCAGUAGGGAAUUUUGCGCAAUGGGGGAAACCCUGACGCAGCAACGCCGCGUGAAUGAAGAAGCCCUUCGGGGUGUAAAGUUCUGUCAGUGGGGACGAAACUUGACGGUACCCACAGAGGAAGCAUCGGCUAACUCCGUGCCAGCCGCAGC
rnacentral:rRNA from 1 species